GCGGUGUGAUCUCGGCUCAUAGCAACCUCUGACUCCUGGGUUCAAGUGAUUAUCCUGCCCCAGCCUCCCAAGUAGCUGGGAUUAUGGGUGUGCGCUACCAUGCCUAGCUAAUUUUUGUGUUUUUAGUACAAAAGUUCGGGGUUUCACCAUGUUGGCUAGGCUGACCUCUGCGUCUCUUUUGUGAGUUUUCCCACUAACUAGCUGCUGUAUGCCUUUGGUCCAGCGCUUUGGGCUCUCUGGGCCUCCCUUUUGAUGUCUGUGGUUUGAUCUCUGGACUCUCAGGUCUGUUCACCCUCAAGGUACCUGUUGUUAGCAUUUAAUUUCCACUCAUGACUGGGUCUCCAUGCAGCACCCUGAAUAUUUGUUCAGGAUUGUCCAGAAGCUUGCACGGUGAGGCUGGAGAGUUCCAUCCUGUAGAUUGGGUUUUGGGAAAGUGUUCAUUGUCUUCCUUUGUGAAUCUGCUGGAAGAUACUUUGCCUUUUCACGAAAGUCAACCACUAGGAGGCCUUGCGUGGACCACGUUGGAUGCUGUUAAUCUGCUGUCAGUGACCCUCCUGCAGACAGGGAGACAGAUGCACCAUGCAGCCUACAUGCUGAGUGGUAAAACUGGGGCAGGAGCAUCUUUGGUAAUUGACAUCUUCACAGAUUUCACAUCCCAUCCCACCCCGUCCCCCCUAUGGUCUUGGCACAGCUCACCCCUCUUGUGGUAUUUGUAGCUUUCGUUCUUCAGGAUGUCAGGUACACCAGGCUGUGUCAUUACAUCGUCCCUAAGUUAAGAAGACCACCAUUGGGCAUGGAGUGGAUUCAAGUCCUUGGAGGUGAAGAUUGAAUGGAUGGUAGUGGAAGUGUACAUGUGUUUAUGUAUUUUUAUUAUUAUUUUUGAGACAGAGUCUCACUUUUGUCACCCAGGCUUGAGUGCAGUGGCGUGAUCUCGGCUCACUGCAACCUCUGCCUCCUGGGUUCAAGCGAUUCUCCUGCCUCAGUCUCCCAAGUAGCUGGGAUUACAGGUGUGUGCCACCACACCCAGCUAAUUGUUUUUGUAUUUUUAGUAGAGACGGGGUUUUACCUUAUUGGCCAGGCUGGUCUUGAUCUCAUGACCUCCCGCCAUUGUUCGUGAAAACUUUUUCUCCACUUGGCCUUUGACCCAACAAUCUCCUCUAGAAACACAUUCUACAAAUACAAUGGAAAAGGAGCAAAGGCAAGAUGACUGCGUUGCAGCACUGUGGGCUGUACCCAAAGCACUUGAAACAAACGUCUGCAAACAGAGGACUGGUUUUACCAUGUUGGCCCAGCUGGUCUUGAUCUCGUUAACAUGGUUUUACCAUGUUGGCCAGGCUGGUCUUGAUCUUGUGACCUCAGGUGAUCCGCCUGCCUCGGCCUCCCAAGGUGCUGGGGUUUACAGGUGUGAGCCACCGUGCUGGCUGAAGUGUACAUGUGUUUAAAUGAGAUGCUGAAAGAUGAAAACAAGGGGUGCAUGAACAAGAGUGGGGCUGGUGAGAAUCCACAAGGAUGUAAUUUGUAUUGAUCUUUUUGGAGGAGGGUCUCAAACACGAGGCCCAGUGGCGGUGGGAGCACGGGAACUUCCCGGUGGGUGGGGUGUGUUCUUUUCACACAAUUACAGUUCAUAGCCUAUUAAACACGAAUAAAUGAUGUUGUUUUCCACAAAGGAGAAUGUAUGCCUUCAGUUCCUUGAAGUAUGGCCUUCCUGGUCUGUCUUCUUUGGUUUCCUGCUUUUGCAAUCAGGCAUGGGCAUGGAGAAGUCGUUAUUUCUUUGGGAUCCUGGCUCUGCAGAGAGAACAGCCCAGAAAAGAAAGUUCCCCAGCCCUCCACAUUCUUCCAAUGGCCACUCGCCGCAGGACACAUCAACAAGCCCCAUUAAAAAGAAAAAGAAACCUGGCUUACUGAACAGUAACAAUAAGGAGCAGUCAGAACUAAGACAUGGUCCGUUUUACUAUAUGAAGCAGCCACUCACCACAGACCCUGUUGAUGUUGUACCGCAGGAUGGACGGAAUGAUUUCUACUGCUGGGUUUGUCACCGGGAAGGCCAAGUCCUUUGCUGUGAGCUCUGUCCCCGGGUUUAUCACGCUAAGUGUCUGAGACUGACAUCGGAACCAGAGGGGGACUGGUUUUGUCCUGAAUGUGAGAAAAUUACAGUAGCAGAAUGCAUCGAGACCCAGAGUAAAGCCAUGACAAUGCUCACCAUUGAACAGUUAUCCUACCUGCUCAAGUUUGCCAUUCAGAAGAUGAAACAGCCAGGGACAGAUGCAUUCCAGAAGCCCGUUCCAUUGGAACAGCACCCUGACUAUGCGGAAUACAUCUUCCAUCCAAUGGACCUUUGUACAUUGGAAAAGAACGCGAAAAAGAAAAUGUAUGGCUGCACAGAAGCCUUCCUGGCUGAUGCAAAGUGGAUUUUGCACAACUGCAUCAUUUAUAAUGGGGGAAAUCACAAAUUGACGCAAAUAGCGAAAGUAGUCAUCAAAAUCUGUGAACAUGAGAUGAAUGAAAUCGAAGUAUGUCCAGAAUGUUAUCUAGCUGCUUGCCAAAAACGAGAUAACUGGUUUUGUGAGCCUUGUAGCAAUCCACAUCCUUUGGUCUGGGCCAAACUGAAGGGGUUUCCAUUCUGGCCUGCAAAAGCUCUGAGGGAUAAAGACGGGCAGGUCGAUGCCCGAUUCUUUGGACAACAUGACAGGGCCUGGGUUCCAAUAAAUAAUUGCUACCUCAUGUCUAAAGAAAUUCCUUUUUCUGUGAAAAAGACUAAGAGCAUCUUCAACAGUGCCAUGCAAGAGAUGGAGGUUUACGUGGAGAACAUCCGCAGGAAGUUUGGGGUUUUUAAUUACUCUCCAUUUAGGACACCCUACACACCCAACAGCCAGUAUCAAAUGCUGCUCGAUCCCACCAACCCCAGCGCUGGCACUGCCAAGAUAGACAAGCAGGAGAAGGUCAAGCUCAACUUUGACAUGACGGCAUCCCCCAAGAUCCUGAUGAGCAAGCCUGUGCUGAGUGGGGGCACAGGCCGCCGGAUUUCCUUGUCGGAUAUGCCGCGCUCCCCCAUGAGCACAAACUCUUCUGUGCACACGGGCUCCGACGUGGAGCAGGAUGCUGAGAAGAAGGCCACGUCGAGCCACUUCAGUGCGAGCGAGGAGUCCAUGGACUUCCUGGAUAAGAGCACAGCUUCACCAGCCUCCACCAAGACGGGACAAGCAGGGAGUUUAUCCGGCAGCCCAAAGCCCUUCUCUCCUCAACUGUCAGCUCCUAUCACGACGAAAACGGACAAAACCUCCACCACCGGCAGCAUCCUGAAUCUUAACCUGGAUCGAAGCAAAGCUGAGAUGGAUUUGAAGGAGCUGAGCGAGUCGGUCCAGCAACAGUCCACCCCUGUUCCUCUCAUCUCUCCCAAGCGCCAGAUUCGUAGCAGGUUCCAGCUGAAUCUUGACAAGACCAUAGAGAGUUGCAAAGCACAAUUAGGCAUAAAUGAAAUCUCGGAAGAUGUCUAUACGGCCGUAGAGCACAGCGAUUCGGAGGAUUCUGAGAAGUCAGAUAGUAGCGAUAGUGAGUAUAUCAGUGAUGAUGAGCAGAAGUCUAAGAAUGAGCCAGAAGACACAGAGGACAAAGAAGGUUGUCGGAUGGACAAAGAGCCAUCUGCUGUUAAAAAAAAGCCCAAGCCUACAAACCCAGUGGAGAUUAAAGAGGAGCUGAAAAGCACGUCACCAGCCAGCGAGAAGGCAGACCCUGGAGCAGUCAAGGACAAGGCCAGCCCUGAGCCUGAGAAGGACUUUUCCGAAAAGGCAAAACCUUCACCUCACCCCAUAAAGGAUAAACUGAAGGGAAAAGAUGAGACGGAUUCCCCAACAGUCCAUUUGGGCCUGGACUCUGAUUCAGAGAGCGAACUUGUCAUAGAUUUAGGAGAAGACCAUUCUGGGCGGGAGGGUCGAAAAAAUAAGAAGGAACCCAAAGAACCAUCUCCCAAACAGGAUGUUGUAGGUAAAACUCCACCAUCCACGACGGCGGGCAGCCAUUCUCCCCCGGAAACGCCGGUGCUCACCCGCUCUUCCGCCCAAACUUCCGCGGCUGGCGCCACAGCCACUACCAGCACGUCCUCCACGGUCACCGUCACGGCCCCGGCCCCCGCCGCCACAGGAAGCCCGGUGAAAAAGCAGAGGCCGCUUUUACCGAAGGAGACUGCCCCGGCCGUGCAGCGGGUCGUGUGGAACUCAUCAAGUAAGUUUCAAACGUCCUCCCAAAAGUGGCACAUGCAGAAGAUGCAGCGUCAGCAGCAACAGCAGCAGCAGCAAAACCAGCAGCAGCAGCCUCAGUCUUCCCAGGGGACGAGAUAUCAGACCAGACAGGCUGUGAAAGCUGUCCAGCAGAAGGAGAUCACACAGAGCCCAUCCACGUCCACCAUCACCCUGGUGACCAGCACACAGUCAUCGCCCCUGGUCACCAGCUCGGGGUCCAUGAGCACCCUUGUGUCCUCAGUCAACGCUGACCUGCCCAUCGCCACUGCCUCAGCUGAUGUCGCCGCUGAUAUUGCCAAGUACACUAGCAAAAUGAUGGAUGCAAUAAAAGGAACAAUGACAGAAAUAUACAACGAUCUUUCUAAAAACACUACUGGAAGCACAAUAGCAGAGAUUCGCAGGCUGAGGAUCGAGAUAGAGAAGCUCCAGUGGCUGCACCAGCAAGAGCUCUCCGAAAUGAAACACAACUUGGAGCUGACCAUGGCGGAGAUGCGGCAGAGCCUGGAGCAGGAGCGGGACCGGCUUAUCGCCGAGGUGAAGAAGCAGCUGGAGUUGGAGAAGCAGCAGGCGGUGGAUGAGACCAAGAAGAAGCAGUGGUGCGCCAACUGCAAGAAGGAGGCCAUCUUUUACUGCUGUUGGAACACCAGCUACUGUGACUACCCCUGCCAGCAAGCCCACUGGCCUGAGCACAUGAAGUCUUGCACCCAGUCAGCUACUGCUCCUCAGCAGGAAGCGGAUGCUGAGGUGAACACAGAAACACUAAAUAAGUCCUCCCAGGGGAGCUCCUCGAGUACACAAUCAGCACCUUCAGAAACGGCCAGCGCCUCCAAAGAGAAGGAGACGUCAGCUGAGAAAAGCAAGGACAGUGGCUCGACCCUUGACCUUUCUGGCUCCAGAGAGACGCCCUCCUCCAUUCUCUUAGGCUCCAACCAAGGCUCUGUUAGCAAAAGGUGUGACAAGCAACCUGCCUAUGCCCCAACCACCACAGACCACCAGCCGCACCCCAACUACCCCGCCCAGAAGUGUAAGUAUGACCCUGUCUUACGAAAGCUGCCGGGGCUUCUUCCUGGUAUGCAGAAGGCUUGUUCUGUGUGUGUCCGUGUGUGUUUUCCUUUGUGGGUGUGUCUUCUCCUGUUCUUUUGAGUCGUGGGUCUUCCUUUGCAACGUUUCUUCUUCACUGUGCCUCUGGUCUCCAUCACAAACUGCAUUAGGAAAUGAGAGCGAGCAUGUGGCCUGGCUUCUUGAUGGAGAUCGUCCUCGCUCUUCUCAUAAAGGGUCCUAGAUGAACACCGAUUCCCUCCUGUGGUGAUUGGCUAUGGCAGCCAGUGUCCCCGUGUCCUCUCCAUAUGAGGAGUGAGGGCCUGCAGAUCUCUCCAUUGGCCAGCCUGGUUCUGGGAGAGAGAUACUGAACUCAGCUUGGCCCUGGUCCCAUUUCUUCCAGUACCCGCUGGUGGUCUCUGCCCUCACCAGAGCUGGAAGGACUUGAUGUGGUUUGACCACAUCACUGUAGGAUUUUUCUCCCGGAUGGGGAUGACCAGCUGCAUCACUCCCCAGAGUCCUUCUGAAGAACUAAAAGCAUAGGCAUGGCGGCUAAGGGAAGAAGGCAUAAGAAGGCAGAUUGAGGAUUGUUAAGAAGACUCCACCCUUGCCCCCAGCUCUGCCUACCAUAGUAUUGCUCCCUUUUGGUCACUGAUGCACGUGACUAAGAAGAGUUCUCUCCUGAGUAACUACAUGACUUUGGAGAUCUUUGUCAUUCUCUUCACUGCUUAUCUUCCAGAACUCAUGAUUACCCACACAUGCCUUUUUACCAGGCAGUAAGAAAUGCAGCCCCCCUAGGUAGUAGCAUGGUCCCCUCCUUGGCCCACUCCACUCUUGCCCUCAACCUCUUUCAACCAAACAUUAUCACCCACCUUAAGAAAUUAAAAAAUAAUUCUGUCCCAGUCUGUCUGAACUUAGUAAAUGAUCCAGGAUGUGAUGGGAUCUCAGGGCUUGGCUGGAAGGUUUCUCCAGUCAGCCAUCUAGCAGAGCCUGCAGACCUGGGCUGUUGGCUAAAGUGCUCUUCACAGACACCUCAUUUGGCUCUUCCUUCAGCUUCUUCACUUAUUUCUUACUCAGUCACUACUCAGCUCCUUGUCCAUGUGUCCUUGAAGCCAUCCUAGGUCUUAUUCUGAUUCUGAAUUCAGUCACCCAUAAGCUUGUCCUUACCGGGAGUCGGUGUGUGUUCCCAGGUGGACUUAACCAUUCUUCUCCUUUAUGAUCCUUUCCCUUGGGUGGACAAGUGUGAUUUGGUUGUAAGUCCAUUUUUCAAGUUGCCUAUACAUUGAUAAAAGAAAUCCCACUAACAGAAGUAGACUGCAUGCCAAAUUUCAGCGUCUUUCUCCAGGGGCCAAGGUUGGACCCAGAAGUGCAUGGGGUGCUUGGUGUCAUUCAGUGAUGUAGUAAGGAUACACAGUUCCAGACACGGCACAAGAACUGCCUUCCUUGGCAGUUCAGCACCUUUUCCACAAAUCUUUAUUCUCUGUGAGCAUGACACCCUACCGUUUUUUCAACCGGUUGUCGUUAAAUCCUAAAAAAUAAGUUGUUCUACCUUUCUGUUCUACAGACCCACAGAUGCAGGGCAGUCAGUGGUGGCAGUGUUUGAACCAUCAGUGGGGAGGGGAAGGUGGCUUCCUGUGCAGGAGGGGCAGGUCAGAUUGCAGGAUAGUUGUGCUCAGGCGCAGGUGGGCAGGCAUGCUAAACACAUUGGUUUUCCUCCUCAGACCAUUCCCGGAGUAAUAAAUCCAGCUGGAGCAGCAGUGAUGAGAAGAGGGGAUCGACACGUUCCGAGCACACCACCAGUACCAGCACGAAGAGCCUCCUCCCGAAAGAGUCUCGGCUGGACACCUUCUGGGACUAGCAGUGAAUCGGGACACAAACCACCCACCCCAUUGGGAGAAAAACCCAGACGCCAGGAAAAGAAGAAACAACAAAGGCAGGAGAACAGCCACUUUGAGACUUGAGAAUGACAAAACCCUCAGUUGAGCCUGAGCCCCCGGCACGGGGGCUGCUACACUACAGGACACCCGGCAUCGGCUUUGACUGCAGACUUGUUCACCCACACGAGCCCUGUGCUUUUGGUGUAAAUAAUGUACAAUUUGUGGAUGUCAUUGAAUCUAGAGGACCUUCCCCUUUUUAUAUUUGUAUUAACUUUAACUUAUUAAAAAAAAAAAGAGAAAAACAAUUAAAAAAAAAAAAAAAGCAAGCAACCCCAACAACAAAAAAGAAUGUUUUGGUAUUGGAGAAGGGAUGGUCAGUUAGCCUGUCUGUCACACGACGGAAUGGAUACUGGGCCCGGGGACCACUUUCAUACUCACGUCCUCAUCCUUGGAUACCCAGGGGAGGGCGAACCGUUUUCACUCGUGUGUCUGUACACAGCAUGUUGGGAUCGGGAGUUUCGGCACAGACUCUAUCCCAUCAAGCCGUUGGCUCCUUUCAGAUACUACGUUACCAUGUUCCUAAAACGCAAGCUCUCCGGACCAGACGGACACAGGGAGAAGCUAGUUUCUUUCAUGUGAUUGAAAUGAUGACUCUACUCCUAAAAGGGAAAAAACAAUAUCCUUGUUUACAGAAGAGAAACAGAAACAAGCCCCACUCAGCUCAGUCACAGGAGAGGAGAACACAGAAAGUCUUAGGAUCAUGAACUCUGAAAAAAAGAGAAACCUUAUCUUUGCUUUGUGGUUCCUUUAAACACACUCACACACACUUGGUCAGAGAUGCUGUGCUUCUUGGAAGCAAGGACUCAAAGGCAAGGUGCACGCAGAGGACGUUUGAGUCUGGGAUGAAGCAUGUACGUAUUAUUUAUAUGAUGGAAUUUCACGUUUUUAUGUAAGCAUGAAACACAGGCAGUAUGAGAGAAAGCAAGGCCCGUCAUGCUGUCCGUACACUACGUAUGCUGUAGAGCCAUUUUGUAUGUUGUGUAAAACAAAAAGCAUUGAUGAAAAAGCAAAAGGUGAUGUAUGUAUAUGAGAAAAUUAAUUGUACGAUAUCAUUCCAGUACGUUUUGUUGUACAUUUUAGUCUUGUUUACUUUCUCUUCAUUGUUAAGAGGAUGCGAACUGUACAGUUUCCAGCUAGUUACCCAUAUUAGAGAAGAAAUAAGAAGAGAGUAUUAGAAGAAAACAGGAGAGAAAGAACAUUUGUGAAUUGCAGUUGUCAAAAAAAAAAAAAAUAGCCUAGCUGGCCUUAUUUGUGAAGCAUAAUUGCUUUUAGCAUAUGGAAGUAUUUUUUCACAUUUUCUUUGUAUAAAAUUUGUAUUAAACUUAAAUAUCUUUUUGA